rnacentral:misc_RNA from 1 species
UAUGUCUUUCUAGGGGAUAUACAAGAGCGAUCUCGUCGGCAAAUGAAAGAUAGCUCGCGAGACGAUAGCAAUCCGCGUCAAGAAUAGCUCUCAGCGUGAAAAGGGCUUCCAAUUGCUUCCUGGUUGCUCGAUAACAGCCUCCACCCUGCCGGAGGACGAUAAUCCUGGAUUAACAACAGGACGUCGAGUAUCGAUUGUUUAUCGUGUGAAAGCCGCUCGUGAACGAUCGUCCAUUACGUUCGCCAUGUUGCACGCCGUCCCGCUUCUGCGAAGGGAUGGUCUCUCGAAUAACCUUUCUCGAAUAUCGCUCGUAAACGCGAUACAUUGCGAGAAAAUAGUAAUAAAGUUGUCCGUGCUGCGACCUCUUCCGGGGAAGUUUGAAAAUUGUAGGGGGCGCAACUGUGUUAGAGGAACCAGUGAAAGGAGGACUCGCAAGCAUUAUGGGAAGACAUCUCGUUUAGAUUUACUUGAUUUUCUGAGGGAAAGUUUUUUAUAAAAUAGGAAAAUAAGUUCCUC